ACAACCAAGAUCUAAAUUUGUGAUUAAUCCAGUUGGUUGGGCUAGGUGCCUGGGGAGCUUUGGGGAAGGAGGGACUGAGCACCCCACCCUCAAGUGGCAAAGGGUGUCUUCUACAAGUCUCCAUCAGCUCCACUCUCCACACGCCCCACACACAUUCAAUCACAGCCUCAAGUUCAAAAGUGAAUUAAAACUCAAAGAAGCCUGGGGACAGGGACAAGAGUACUUCUGUCAUUCAUUCUCUUCCCCUGCUUCCUUGGGGACAAGGGUGGCCUGGAGGAACAAUAGUGUCCCCUGGCCCCUUCUUCCUGCAUUGGGUUAGAAAAGGCAGCAGAAAGCAGUGGGGAUGACAAAGACACACACACACACACACACACACACACACACACACACACACACCCCAGGCUUGAGAAGGGAGGAGGAGGAGGCGUCUCUGGCUGGACGGACAGACUGUUAUUUUGGUGGUGGGCAUGGUCCCAGAUAGGGGCAGCGUUCCCCUUUUUCCUGGCUUUUCAGGGAGAGCAGCAAGAGAAAGAAAGAAGCAAACGAAAUUCCUGAAUGGAUAAGAGAUGCUACGUCAGCGGUACUGGAGCCGCAUCCUCCACUCCACGAGAAGAGAAGAGCUAGGAGAGACCAGCGGGCGGUAGCUGCGGCGAGUGGCCUCUCCGUGCGGCACAGAGGCAAGAAGCAGCCAUCCAUCCAGAAGCAGCCUCCGUGUUCCGUUUGUCCGGAUGUCAUCGUAGGUGGCCGGCAUCUCUGGCUUUGGGGCAGCUCUGAGCUUGUUAUGACAGCGGCUGAAGGCGCUUGAAUUGCUGUUUGCGGUGCCUACUAAUUGGACUGAAGGGCUGGAGUCUGGACACUGAAAGGGACCAUUGUCGCUGUUUGCCUUCCACGGCUGCCUCCCUGGGACCCUCUGGUUGAGGGGAGUCGCAUACCCGCAGGUCGUGGCACCCAUGCUCUGUGACCAUGCAAGGGUACCCUGUGGGGACACUGCACAUCAUUGUCUUGUCUGGGCUUCUCCCCUGGGGGCGGGUGGGUGCUCCACCCUCCCGCCCACUCUCUGAGGACAUGAGGAACAUGGUAUCCAGCACCACGGACAGCUCCCAGCGGUGAGUGAGCCUGCUGACCCCUGUAGGAAAAUGGUGGUUUUGUCUAUUCCAGGCAGACAUCCUGCACUACAUUCCAGAUCUGAUGAGGCAUGGCUGCCCCAGGAUUACUGGGCUCGGACGGGAGCAGUGGUAGGAAGGAUCCUAUAUAAGUCAUGUGAGACAUAGAAUGUUCAGAUCAACUGAAGCUGAAACAAGCCUUUGGCAUCAUAUAUAACCCAGAAAGGGACAAAGCUGAUCCCAGAGGACUCAAGGCUAUGGGUGAUGUCGAAGGUGCGGAAGAAUCAAGUUGGAAAGACCAGCAGGAGACAGACAGAGUAAGGUUCCUUGAAUGCUUGGUUUAUGUGCCUGGCUGGAGGAGACACCCAUGGCCUUGCAGAGGGAGCGUUCUGGUGGGAAAGCAGACACAACCCACCCUAGGCCCGUGGUUUCCCUGCAAGAAGCCCAGUGGCUUUCUGGAGGACACUUUUCCUGGAGGAAGUGACUCAAGAGCAGCAUAAGCCAGGCUCUAUGGAAUGUUGGGUGAGCUGCUUGAGGAACUCCAAGGCCUGUCCCACAGUCUUCCAGCCUCCGACUCUCCGGCCCUCAGCGAGGAAGUCCCACUGGUUUUUUUGGUUGGUUUUUUUUUUUUUUUUUAAGGUUUUUUGGUUUUUUUUUUUUUUUCUCAUUCCUGUCUUGGGAGCUUUCCCCAACCAGGAGAGUGAAGAUGGGCGGAGCUGUCACACCAACUGUUAGCCUGCCUUGGCUGAGAGGAGAGGAGGCGAGGAGGGAGCGACCACCCAGCUUUAGUCGUUUUAAAACAGCUCCUGACCCUAGAAGAAGGGAAAUGGAGAUGAAGACCCAAUUGACUUGAGAGAGUGAUCUUUCAGCAGACUGAUCGAACACACAGGCUUCUCAGCCCACUCCCUCCAGUCAAGGUUAAGGCCUGGCAAAGGUGGAGGAAGAGAAGCUGAGGAGAAAAAGGCGAGGAGAGCCUAGGCACAGGAAGGUGACCGCUUCCCUCCCUCCCAGUGCUGAUUUCCUGUGGACCAGAUUCCAGCACAGUGGAGGGCCAGAGCUCAGGGAACAGACCCAGCAGCACAGCAAGUCUCCAAGGAAAGCUCUAGCAGUCUCCAGGGGCUGAAGGCAGGACUGGGGAAGCGGCUAGCCAGGCUGCAGAAGGCAAAUGCUCCCAGACGGCUGUCCAGCACGCAUCCGCCUUCCUAGCCAAGUUUCCUGGGCUCCUGCCACAGAUCUAAGCCUCAUCCUGACAUCCUGCCCUCUGUGCUCUGGGAUGGCCCAGGGGAGAUGCUUAGCCUUGGCUCCUUGUCUGCUGGUGGAGGGGACACACACCCUUUCUGGACCACAGACCAAAAAGAAGACCUGACGUCAUCCUGAGCACCCCCGCCAUGCAGAGUGUGUUCGCAGACUGCCAACGGGCUGGCUCCGGCCAGCAGAAGUGAACAGAGGUGGAGGUUCAGCCUGACAGCUUCUCCCCAAAGCCAUGGAGAGAAAACCUUACCACCCCCACCGCCCAGCUACUUCCAGCAAGUUGUCCAGCCUGACCCCUCUAUUUCCCCUGUUGUCUCUUAUCUGGGUCCCUGAGACCCACCCCAUCUCCAAUAAAGAACAUUGCAUACUGUG